GUUUGAGUCUUUGGGUCCUGCUGUCCCCGGCAGCAUGGUGAGAGGCCAGAAAAGCUGAUUUCUUUCCCUUAUCUAUCCUGGGAGGCUCAGAGAGCAAGAUCAGCCUUCCAGAGCGGCACCACGCUGGGCAGUGUGUGGGACUGCAGGAGUCAGCAGAAGUCAUGUGCACCUCAUUGCUGAUAGAAGGUGAAUCAAAGGAGGGGACCCAAGCGACCAUCACUUCAGACGGUGGAAAAGAAAACACAGUACAGGCGAAUCCUUCUGGGCUUAUGCAGAACUUGCCAACGUCACGCAAGCGAGCCCUGGGACGACGAACAUCUGGCAAACCCUGACUUCAGCAGCACAGUACAGAAUGCCCUCGUUUACAUAAACUCAUUUCCUCGAGGAAUAGCUGCAGAAUCUGCUA
rnacentral:lncRNA from 1 species